rnacentral:rRNA from 1 species
UACGUAGGGUGCAAGCGUUAAUCGGAAUUACUGGGCGUAAAGCGUGCGCAGGCGGUUUUGUAAGUCUGACGUGAAAUCCCCGGGCUUAACCUGGGAAUUGCGUUGGAGACUGCAAGGCUGGAGUCUGGCAGAGGGGGGUAGAAUUCCACGUGUGGCAGUGAAAUGCGUAGAGAUGUGGAGGAACACCGAUGGCGAAGGCAGCCCCCUGGGUCAAGACUGACGCUCAUGCACGAAAGCGUGGGGAGCAAACAGG